rnacentral:rRNA from 1 species
AACGAACGCUGGCGGCAGGCUUAACACAUGCGAGUCGAGCGCCCCGCAAGGGGAGCGGCAGACGGGUGAGUAACGCGUGGGAAUCUACCCAUCUCUACGGAACAACUCCGGGAAACUGGAGCUAAUACCGUAUACGUCCUUCGGGAGAAAGAUUUAUCGGAGAUGGAUGAGCCCGCGUUGGAUUAGCUAGUUGGUGGGGUAAUGGCCUACCAAGGCGACGAUCCAUAGCUGGUCUGAGAGGAUGAUCAGCCACACUGGGACUGAGACACGGCCCAGACUCCUACGGGAGGCAGCAGUGGGGAAUAUUGGACAAUGGGCGAAAGCCUGAUCCAGCCAUGCCGCGUGAGUGAUGAAGGCCCUAGGGUUGUAAAGCUCUUUCGCAGGUGAAGAUAAUGACGGUAACCUGAGAAGAAGCCCCGGCUAACUUCGUGCCAGCCGCCGCGGUAAGAC